GAAAUACUGAGCCAUGGUCCACACCAGCAUGCCACCCCAGUCGUGACCCACCAGGGUGACCCGAGGAAUCGCCUGCAAAUAGACAACUAGUUGCUGUGUGACUGGAGGUUCACCUGGAGGCGCUGUGGACCCUCCGUACCCCUUCAUGUCCAGAGCCAGCACCCGGAACCCGGCUGCAGCCAGGGCUGGGAUCUACCAGAGGGGUCAGGGAGAGAUGAACCCGCUGCGGCCCUCACCUGGACCCCGGUGAAGAGGGCCAGCUGGUCCAAGGCGUGGUCCAGCUGUUCCACC